rnacentral:rRNA from 1 species
GACGAACGCUGGCGGCGUGCCUAAUACAUGCAAGUCGAACGCUGAAGGAGGAGCUUGCUUCUCUGGAUGAGUUGCGAACGGGUGAGUAACGCGUAGGUAACCUGCCUGGUAGCGGGGGAUAACUAUUGGAAACGAUAGCUAAUACCGCAUAAGAGUAGAUGUCGCAUGACAUUUGCGUAAAAAGUGCAAUUGCAUCACUACCAGAUGGACCUGCGUUGUAUUAGCUAGGUGGUGAGGUAACGGCUCACCAAGGCAACGAUACAUAGCAGACCUGCGAGGGGGAUCGGCCACACUGGGACUGGGACAAGGCCCAGACUCCUACGGGCAGCAGCCGGAGGGGAUCUUCGGACAUGGGCGGAAGUCUGACCGCAGAACGCCGCGUGGGGGAAGAAGGUUUUCGGAUCGUAAAGCACGGUUGUAGGGGGAGAACGAGUGUGAGGGUGGAAAGUUCACACUGUGACGGUAUCUGAAGAGAAAGGAACGGCUAACUACGUG